rnacentral:rRNA from 1 species
CGUAGGUGGCAAGCGUUGUCCGGAAUUAUUGGGCGUAAAGCGCGCGCAGGCGGUCCUUUAAGUCUGAUGUGAAAGCCCACGGCUCAACCGUGGAGGGUCAUUGGAAACUGGGGGACUUGAGUACAGAAGAGAAGAGUGGAAUUCCACGUGUAGCGGUGAAAUGCGUAGAGAUGUGGAGGAACACCAGUGGCGAAGGCGACUCUUUGGUCUGUAACUGACGCUGAGGCGCGAAAGCGUGGGGAGCAAACAGGAUUAGAUGCCCUGGUAGUCCACGCUGUAAACGAUGAGUGCUAAGUGUUAGAGGGUUUCCGCCCUUUAGUGCUGCAGCUAACGCAUUAAGCACUCCGCCUGGGGAGUACGGCCGCAAGGCUG